GAUGAACGCUGGCGGCGUGCCUAAUACAUGCAAGUCGAGCGAACGGACGAGAAGCUUGCUUCUCUGAUGUUAGCGGCGGACGGGUGAGUAACACGUGUAUAACCUACCUAUAAUACUGGGAUAACUUCGGGAAACCGGAGCUAAUACCGUAUAAUAUUUUGAACCGCAUGGUUCAAAAGUGAAAGACGGUCUUGCUGUCACUUAUAGAUGGAUCCGCGCUGCAUUAGCUAGUUGGUAAGGUAACGGCUUACCAAGGCAACGAUGCAUAGCCGACCUGAGAGGGUGAUCGCCCACACUGGAACUGAGACACGGUCCAGACUACUACGGGAGGCAGCAGUAGGGAAUCUUACGCAAUGGGCGAAAGUCUGACGGAGCAACGCCGAGUGAGUGAUGACGGUCUUCGGAUCGUAAAACUCUGUUAUUAGGGAAGAACAUAUGUGUACGUAAAUGUGCACAUCUUGACGGUAACUAAUCAGAAAGCCACGGCUAACUACGUG
rnacentral:rRNA from 1 species